GCUGGAGAACUUAAGUCUUUGUCUUCAAAAUUGCAUGAUAAUUCCAUGUAACUUUCCAUAUUUCCAAAAAACAUGGUAGUUCCAUGUGUUUUUCUUAGAAAUGCUGAUUUUCCUCCCGCUUUUCAUAUCUAUUCUUUUAAUCUUCUUUGUUUUAUGAAGUUAUGUAUGCUAUGUAUUAUCCAAGUGCUUGUGUAUAACUGAUCUUGUUCUAUCAAGAUGACAGAUAGGAUCUGAGGUGUGGUGGUGUCUGCCAGAAAGCCUGCUCGCAACCAUGCUCUGCUACAGAGAAGAGAUGCCUUUGUAUCUGCACUGAGUGUCAUGAGAGAAUAACCCUUGUUGCAUGACUAGAAAAUGUUUAAAAACAGCACCAGUAGACAGCCUGGAAGAUUUUUUUGCUUGGAUUUUAGGUAACUACAUAAAUUUUGUAAUGAACUUAAUAUACAGGACCUUAAGUUUAAAUUGGUCUGAAAACAAAGUGUUAGGAUGCAGUUGAUCCUGUGCAACACAGGUGAUGAACUUAAGCUGGUCAAAGGAGUCAGUGCAAACGAUGAAUGUGAACUUGUAUUUUUGUUCAAGAUGAUCUGGUUCACCCAAGUUUUUCGUAAAUAAUUUGCUCGGAUAGUAGUUUAGCUAUUGAUGUGCAGCUGGGUGGUAUACAAGUGUAUUUUACAAUUGACUGGACAUUUAGUAGCAAGUCAUCAAUGUGAUGUUUUAGGAGUUAGUGGAGAAGCGAUGUAUUGCUGGUAUGUUGGCUAUGCCAUGUGCUGGCAAUGCACUUGAAUUCUUGUAAUGAAUCUGCAGGAAGCAGUGCGACACAUGCAUCUUUUUUUUUUUUUUCAGGAAUAAGGGGUUGAAUGUCACUGCCUGCAUAUAUUGGGUUAGUGCAGAAACAGUAUAUCAGUGUGGGCGUUGUAGAAGGAAACACUAAGCAAGUUGUUUUAUUGCCAUAAUGUAAUUCAAAGCGCUGGUAUCUUAAGCUAUAUGAAUUUUAAAAUCUGCAUACAUUCUGUUAUCGUGUUUGUUGUGAAAUGACUGUGCUCAUCUUCUGCUUUUCUGUUUUGUGUAAGCUUUCAAAGGAAGAAGGGAGGAAUUGAGGAGGGAAGAUUUAAAAAAAAAAAAAAAGUUAAAUGUCAACAUCAAAAUGUUCAUCUUUUGUGUUGGGAAUUCAGAGGCGUAGCACAAGGUAUUCUAGAUAACGUGAAAUGAUUCACUUUCUAAUGUUUCCUAUGGGCCCAUGAUGUUCUUUCAUAGAAAUCUUUAUAUCGUAGGCCUAACUGGAAGUGAAAGGUUUUUAAACAGCUUACUUUAUUUCAUUUUUGUUUUGAACAACAGACUAUUUUAUGAAAUCUAUAUGUUACUGAUGCAGACCACGCGGAUGCUUACCUGUUAUCCUGUGAUGAUGGGGAGCGAGAAUUGUGGCAAGUCCAACCGGGGUCCCCUUGAGAGAGCUGGAGCUUGCUUCUCCUACUUGACACUCUCACAGGAGCCAUUCUCAAUACCUUUUCAAUAAAUAGAUGCCUACCAAAAACAACUCCUCUCCAUUUGUUAAGCUGUCUGACUUAUGGUAAUAAGUGCAUCUGAAGCUUGUAAGCCUUGGUAGUUAAAUAAAAAGGCAUUUGCAGUCUGAAGGAAGCAUUUCAAUACAAGUAGUCAGUAGCAGCCUAGCAAACAGUAGCUCUGCUUUGCCUCUUCAGGUUUCAUAUUUAAGCUGAUGUGCAAAAGGGAGGGGAGAGGGUGCUGAGUGGAAGAGCAUCGCUGCCAACACUGCACAAUCACGAGUCAGAAAUACAUCAGGACAAAUAAACUUGUGCUGAUCGAGGGAGGAAAAAAAUUUGUGAAGAGCUGUCUGCAGUGACUGUCGGGUUUGUGAGAGAUGUAGCACUGAUGCAGUACCUUUUGCUGAGGUGCAAUUGUUCAAUUAUUCCCCACGCUUACUGAAUGUUCCCUAGUAAAAAUAGGCAAAAGAUUGAUCCUGAUGUCCACUUUAGCCUAGGCCUGAAGUACCUGGCUUUAUGCUCAGCAAAAGCUGUUUGCUUAAAAAUCCAUUUUGGUUACCUACUGAGAUAAGUAAUGCAGAUCAUAGCGGUGUUCUAGGAAAACACUGCUUGCAUCGUGGGAACAAUAGCUAGAAAAUCAAGAUAACAUCAGUCUGUGCUCACUUAGUGUUCUCUAAGUAAGUGCUUGCCAUUUCAAGAGCAAGAAACUCAGGCAAAAACUGUUUUUACGCACACGCAUGCUCUUGGAGUAUGGCUUUUAUUUUUUUAAUUAUUUUUCCUUAAUGGCUGUAGAUGUUUCAAAUGUGGCCAUGAUUGUGUCUUUGUUUAGUGAUACGCUAAAGUAGUUGUGUCUUUGAAAUUAAGCGUGUCGAAAAUAUUUUUGACAACUUCAAGAAGUGCGUUUGCUAAGUUGUCUGUGCAUAAGUAAUGAUUUCUUGAAAAACUUGGCUGCUGUAAACACUGCCUGACAGUAUUGGAAAGUCUGGUGGAAAGAUACCCCAAACUGUUUCAGGAGGAUUUUUGCCUGUUGUUUGCCUUAGAGCACUGUAUGGGGUCCCAGUUCUAUUGAGCUGUCUUGGCAGGUUAUUUCUGCACCCUGAAUUUAGAAAAGGCCUUCUUCCUAGGAGCACUUAGAUAUCUGUGUGUGAAUGUUAGCUGUGGUCUCACAAUGGAAAUACUUACGUAGUCAGUUUUUGGUGUGGCCUCUUGUUCCAAACAACUCUUCUUGUCUAUGCGUGUAUCACUGAGGUGUAUUAGAGAAUAGGUUUGUACAGGUUAAAGCUUAGUAAUGCAGUGGACUUUAUAAAUUGGGAUGUUAUCAUUUGUUACUCAAAUAGAAAAGAUAGCUCAAGCUUCUCAGGCUGUGGUAUCGCAGAGUGAUGUGACCCAGUGCUGCUGAGGUUUGAGGAGAACAGGACUGGAUGUGUUGUGGAUCUGGAUGUGAUGAGGUAGGCUGGCUGUGCAGAGAACCGUGGCUUGUGCCUAAUCCUAUGUGGUUGAUGUGCCCUGCUUCUGAGGCCUCCGGUUCAUGCAUGUUCAUUCGUGUUUAGGAUUGUGAUAUUCUAAUGUUUAUUUCAAAGAGCAGCAACAGCUCAGAUGCAAGCAAUGGUUUGGAAAUAUCAUGGCAUUUGCUCAGAUUAACUGUGAUUGCGGUUGUCAUCUCACAACGCUGUUAUCCCUGUUACUUCAAAAGGUUUCCGGUGACAGAUCUGGAUAAGUACACAAAACUGCUAUAAUUUUUUUAUUCUAAUCUCUGAAGUAGAUUUAUCUUGUGAUUAUUUUUCUCCCAAAAAUAACAGAAGUGUCCUUCGUGUUCCAAAAGGUUUUUUU